AGGAGAAUGGCGUGAACCAGGGAGGCAGAGCUUGCAGUGAGAUGAGAUUGCACCACUCCACUCCAGCCUGGGCAACAGAGCAAGACUCUGUCUCAAAAAAAAAAAAAAUACACUCAUCCUUCCUUUCCUCCCUUCCCUGUCUUCUUUCUUCCUUCCUUCCCUCUUUCUUUUUUUUGAGAUAGUCUCACUCUGCCACCCAGGGUGGAGUACAUUAGCACAACCACAGCUCACUGCAGCCUCAACCUCCUGGGCUCAUGCAAUCCUCCCAUCUCAGCCUCCAGAGUAGCUGGGACUACAGGCACUUGCUACCACAUCUAAUUUUUGUAUUUUUGUAUUUUUUUUUUUUUUUUGAGACAGAGUUUUGCUCUUGUUGUCCUAGCUGGGGUGCAAUGGUGUGAUCUCGGCCCACUGCAACCUCCACCUCUCGGGUUCAAGUGAUUCUCCUGCCUCAGCCUCCCAAGUACCUGGGAUUAUAGGCGUGCGCAACCACGCCUGGCUAUUUUUUUGUAUUUUUAGUAGAAAUGGGUUUUUUCCAUGUUAGCCAGCUGGUCUUGAACUCCUGACCUCAGGUAAUCCACCCGCCUUGGCCUCCCAAAGUGCUGGGAUUACAGGUGUGAGCCACCGCACCCGGCCUAAUUUUUGUAUUUUUUAUAGAGAUGGAGUUUCACCGUGUUGCCCAGGCAAUCCGCCUACCCCAGCCUCCCAAAGUGCUGGGAUUACAGGCAUGAGCCACCAUGCCUGGCCCAAAACUCUUUCAUUAACAAAACUUUCCUGAACUAUUAAUAUGCUGAUUGACAUCCAGGAUUUCCUUUGAUCAUGGACUCCCUGUGUCUGUUUUUUAAAUAAGCAUUUACAGUAAUUGUGAAAACUACUAUAAAAAUGAUGCCCAAACUCAGUGGUUCUUUAACAGAGAACAUAGGUCACCAUCAGGAGGCAUCUGGAAAAUGGUUUCUGGUUUUUAUAAUGCCAACCCUACUUACCCUGAGUAUGUGGCACAGGGGAAUCAGCCACGGAUCCUAAGCAGCUAAAUAUCCUUCCAUUUGCAGGACAAUCCCAUAAAAAAUAAUUCUCUUGCCUCCAAUGCCAGCAGCACCUCCAUUUGACAAACUGUUAAUUAACCUAAUCCUCACCAUCUAGACAUUUACUAUUAACGAAGCAAUCAACUUUCAUCCUACCAGGGAAGGAACUGGAUUAAUGUAGAUUUGGAAUGUAAUCUGUGGUCUAAUCAGCCAGUGGGUGAGAAGCACCUAUACUAUACCUAAGAUAUUAUCCCUUAAAAUAUCCUAGACAAAGCAAACUAUUUUAAUAGUGGUUUCCUCUGGUAAACAGGAUAGGACAGGAAUGAGUAGAAACGAGGGUAUCCACUUUGUGAAAUUCUACUUCAGCACGGUCUGGUUUUUUUUUGAUAAACAGGUUAUCAGUUAAAAAGAAUAGGCUGUGCAUGCUGGCUCACACCUGUAAUCUUAGCACUUUGGGAGGCUGAGCUGGGAGGACUGCUUGAGACCAGGAGUUGAGACCAGCCUGGGCAACAUAGUGAGACCCUGUCUCAAAAAUUUUAAAAAAAAAAUUUUUUUAAGUCAAAUCUUAUUACUGUACAAAGACAUGCAGUAUUUGAACCAACACUAAAACAGACCAUAGCAGUGGUAGGGAACAUACCUGAUGGCAUCUUUGCUGGAAGCUUUUAUUAUUUCUGUUGCAGAAGGAACACCUAUUCGUUUGAACUUAAUUCCCUACAGGAAAAUGAACCACAGUUUAAUGUACAGUGGCCAUCAAUUGUUUCCAAUAAGAUAAGCAGUCCCCUAAUUUUUUAAUAUAGGCCAAAUGUAUGUAUUACAUUAAAAAAUGAACUUUUAAUUUUAGACUUACAGAAAAGCUACAAAGACAGUACAGAGAGCUCCAGGUUUCUGCUAUUAUUAACAUCUUACACUGUUAAUGUAUAUUUGUUUCAACUAAGAAACCAACAUGGCUAAACUAUUAAUCAAACCCCAGACUUUAUUCCAUGUCUGUCUUUCCUUCUUUCCUUGUUUUUCAUGACUUUGACAGUUUUAAGGAGUGCUGGUCAACAGUUUUGUAGAAUGUCCCUCAGUUUGAGGUUGUCUUGUGUUUUCCUCAUGCUCAGGGUUACAUAUUUGGGGGAGGAAUACCCGAAGUGAAUGCUCGCCUUACCACCUCUUAUCAGGGGCACAUGGCUAUGUGCCUAUCACUAAUGAUGUGACCCACGAUCAACUGGCCCAGGUAGUGUUUGUUCAUCUCUCCUCGGUAAAGUCCUCACUCCCCACCUUACUCUAUUCUUUGAAAGCAAGUCCCUAAGUGCAGUCCACUCAAGAGGAAGGAGACGAGUGAAGCUCCUGAAGGGGCAAGAAUCUACAUACACUAUUCCAAUUCUCCUGGAGGAAAAAUUAGUCUCUUCUCCCCUUUAUCCUUUUGACAUACCCUCAUUCAUUUGAUUUUCAAGCAAUUCCUACAGCCCCUCAAUCUUAAUUAUCUCUGGUUCAUAUUUAUCAUUGUCUGAAAACUUCCUUUCAAACAUAUGAAAACAAAAUCACUGUUUUCAAAUGCAAAGUUACUUCAGAAUGGGCCUUUUAUCACAGGACAACAUAUGUACCUAACAAUAAGCUUUCAGUCAUUGCCACACACUAGAAAUAAAAAUAUUUUAAAGUGGAUAAAAAUUGAAGAAACCAAAGACUGACUUUAGAACUCAACAUUUGCUUAAUGAAAGGUAAGAAUAGUUUUACCGCUUUUUGCUCCACUUGUACUAACUGAUAUUCUUCCUUGUGCUGAUAAAAGCAGAUGCACACCCCCGUCCUUCCAGCUCUGCCUGUCCGCCCGGAUCGAUGAAUGUAGGACUCUACAUCCUAUUGAAGUAAAAUACAUGAGUAACACUAAACCAAAAAAGAGAGACAAACACCUGAGUAGCCUAUGCAGGUCAGUGAACACUAGCAAUUGUGGUUAUAAACCUGGGGACAUGAGGGAGAAGGUCCCUUAGCACUUCAAUUUAAAGACCUCUGGCAAUUUUUAAAGCUUCUAGAACAAUGGUCCCUGUCCUGCAGGCAAAUUUACAAAGAGCAUUGUCUAAAUAGUGCUUGUCCAUUAGAGGCAUAUAUGUAAUUCCAAUUUUCAGUCUUCCAGUAGACAGACUGAAAAGAUUUCUUUAAGAAGCUUAAUGUAUUUUAACUCAAUAUAUCUAGUCUUUUUUUUUUCUUUUGAGACAGAGUCUCACUCUGUCACUCAGGCUGGAGUGCAGUGGCAUGAUCUCAGCUCACUGCAACCUCCGCCUACCGGGUUCAAGUGAUCUUGCUGUCUCAGCCUCCCAAGUAGCUGGGACAACAGGCACCUGACACCAGGCCUGGCUAAUUUUUGUAUUUUUAGUAUAGACAGGGUUUCACAGAGUUUCACCAUAUUGGCCAGGCUGGUCUCGAACUCCUGACCUUAAGUGAUUCGUUUGCCUCAGCCGCCCAAGGUGCUGGGAUUACAGACAUGAGCCACCACGCCUGUCAGAAUAUCCAAGUCUUAUCAUUUCAAUAUACUAUCUAUACAAACCAGGGUACCAAUGCAAUAUUUUGUAUUUUUUCGUAAGUCUUCAAAAUCCAGACCGCAUAAUAAAAAGUUAGGCAGUAUGUAUUUUACACUUGCAGUACACAGAUCAAUUCAGACCACCUACAUUUCAAGUGCUCAACACAGCUAGUGGCUACCAUAUCAAAAAGUCUAAAGGCUCGUGAAACAAUGUUUAUACCACACACUCAUGGGACUUCCUUUUUAAGAAUUGGUGAAUUCAUAGUCUUCAGUUAUUUUUCCCCAUUGUUGUAAGCAGCCUUUAACCAUGGGGGAUUUGCCAAUUUGGGUGAGAUUUUGGGGUCCUCAUGUUGGAAGUGAUUGGAAUACCUUUGGAACAACCUUUAUUUACGUGAAGAACUAUCCACAUCAAGUAAACUAUGAUUCAGGGUCCUCCUUGAGAGGUUCCUAUAACUCACAAACCUAAGCAUCUCUAACCACAGAGGUUAAUUACAGGCCCUUUCUCUCCCCUGUCCUCUAGGCUCAUGCAUUUAUCUACCUUACUUACCCCUAUCCCAUCUCAGUCCUUCCACCCAUCUUCAAGGUUUGGCUCAAAAAUCACACUAUAUCCCCAAGUCACCUUUUGAACCUCUGUCUGCUGACUGCACUUCUACUCAAGUGUCAGUUCUGAGGGGGGUGUCUGAUAACAGGUUCAUUCUCAAAAUCACCCUUAGCAUCCCAGCACUCAAAAGAUAGCUAUAUACUAAUGACAUGAAAGUAAAUAAUACAAUUUCCAAUUUGUUUUAAUACCCAAAAAAAACAAAACAAAAUAAAAUCUAAGCAUAAAGCACAUACCUUUGGUGGAGAGCUUUGUAUAACCAAAUCAACCUCAGGGAUGUCUAACCCACGUGCAGCAACAUUGGUUGCCACCAAAACUCCAAAACUACCAUUUCUAAAACCUUUCAGGGUGAUUUCCCUUUGCUUCUGUGGAAUGUCUCCAUGCAAGGACUGAGCAUCCUGCCAAUAAAUAAACGGAUGUAAGAACACCAGUUCCAACAAUACAAGUACUUUUUCUCUUCAUCAGUUAGGCCUGUAAAAGACAUUCAUAUUUUGGUGACAUGCCUGUUGAAAACAUUACAAAGGGGAAAAUGUGUCUUGAAUGGAUAAGCCUCAAUAUUAUUUCCAAAUCCUCAGUUAUCAAUUCCAACUGUAUCCAACUUUACUUAUUGAAGUUGAGAAUGAGACAAGAGUGAUCAAACCUAUUUUAUCAGUGUAACCUUAGGUCUGAGCCACCCUUUCCUCAUUUGUGUGAUGAGAUGCCAUGACAGAUUAAGUGAGUUCUAACAUGUACCCUCUGAUCAUUAGAAAGAAGUGAGGCCAGGUGCAGUAGCUCAUGCACUUUGGGAGGCCCAGACAGGCAGACUGCUUGAGGCUGGGGUUUGAGACCAGCCUGGGCAAUAUGGCAAGACUCGGUCUCUACUAAAAAUAGAAAAAAAAUUUAAAAAAAUAAAAUUAGUUGGGGGUGGGUAGGAGAAUAGCUAAUCCUGCUAAUAAAUGCUGGGCUUAAUACCUAGGUUAUGGGAUGAUCUGUGCAGCAAACCACCUUGGCAUACAUUUAGCUAUGUAACAAACCUGUACAUCCUCACAUGUACCCCUGAACCUAAAAGUUGAAGAUAAAAAAAGUCUUCCCAAUUAGAUAGUGGUGACUGUGGCACAACCUCAUGAUUAUGCUAAAAGCCACUGAACUGUACACUUUAAAAUGAUAAUAUGUGGCACAUGAAUUAUAUCAAUAAUAAAACACCAUCCAGAAAAAAAAAGCCAGGUAUGGUGGUGCAUGCUACCUGGAGGUUGAGGCUACAGUGAUCCGAGACCACGCCAAUGCACUUCACUUCAGCCUGGGCAAAGGGAGUGAGACCCUGUCUCCAAAAAAAAAAAAAAAAAAAAAAAAAAAAUUAGGCUGGGCGCAGUGGCUCAUGCCUAUAAUCCCAGCAUUCUGAGUGGCCGAGGCAGGUGGAUCACUUGAGGUCAGGAGUUCGAGACCAACCCGGCCAACACGGUGAAACCCCAUCUCUACUAAAAAUACAAAAAUUAGCUGGGCAUGCUGGCACGUGCCUGUAAUCGCAGCUACUUGGGAGGCUGAGGCAGGAGAACUGCUUGAACCCAAGAAGCGGAGGUUUCAGUGAGCCAAGAUCACACCAUUGCAGUCCAGCCUGGGCGAAGAAGCGAGACCCCCUCUCAAAAAAAUAAAGAAAAAACAAAAUUAACCAGGAAUGGUGGUGCUCACUUGUAAUCCCAGCUACUCGGGAGACUGAGGUGGGAGAAUCACUUGAACUCAGGAGGCAGAGAGCCCAGAUCACACCACUGCACUCCAGCCUGGGUAACAGAAUGAGACUCUGCCUCAAUUAAAAAAAAAAAAAAAAAAGUAGCUUCCUCUCAUUUCUAAACUAAACUAAACUGGUAUUCACUGAAUGAAUGAAAAUCAGACCAAGAGCAGAUAUGCCCAAGGUGAAGAUUUGUUGAUAUCCCCAGUUUUGCUGGCAUAAGGGGAAGGACCAACCUGCUUUAUAGCUGAAUUCUGGGACAGCUCCUGGGCUUCUUUCUUGGUUUCACAAAAGAUGAUAGUGCGUCCUUGAUGACCACUAUAUACUCGGAUGACAUCCCCAAUAACUGCUGCCCUCUGAGUCCAGUGGCACUUAAUAGCCAGAUGCUUAUGUAAGAAGAAAAAAAACAUCUAUUUAGUAAAGCUUUGCUGGAAACUAAAAUCACAACACAAUGAUCAGUGAGCACAACACUAAUGUUCUAAUGUCUUGCUCCUGGAAACAACUACUCAAGCCUGAUAAGAGCUGUCUGCAGCCACCACUGACAGAAAAAAACCUAAAUAAGCCAGUAAAGCAGAAAGCAACAUGAUCUGCCCAUCUCCCCAUGCCUCUCCCCUUUCUCUAAAGAGCAUCUAACUUCUUUAUUUUCUGACAACCAGGAAAAUGCAGGAAAGGAAAUGCCACUCCCUAGCUUUCUACAGGAAACCAAAUAACCAACAAAUUUCUGUAUGUUUUGCCUUUUCAUUUACUUAAAAACCCAAUCUGUAGUAGAUUAAUAUACAGGUCUGUUCCUCAGUGAAAUUAAUUCAUCUAGAUUAUCAGAAUCAAAGGUGAAAUUUUAAACUUCAACACUUUUAAGCUUAAACACAAAGCACUAGAUUUCUCUGCUGCCCUCUAAUGUUUAAAUUUUAAGUGUGAUUUAUGUUUACAUAACUCAGAUAGAUUUAAGUUCCAAAUCAUUCUGAAAUGAAAUGAGGCCAUAGAUGAUGAAAUUUUAAAAACACAGAUAUCGGGCCGGGCGUGGUG
rnacentral:lncRNA from 10 species